UUGACCUGCAGAGGUCAGCGGCCAGCCUCCUUGCCUUUCGGUUCAGACAGCUUCAGGACUAUAGUGAGGGGACUCAGCACCGCUCCUGGCCGUUCAGCAGUAGUUGACGACAUAAUCAUCCGAUAUUUCAGUACAAAUGUGACGUCUCCGAGUUCUUACCGUAUCGCCAACAUCAAGGCGGUGCUGUCAGACCCAGCGUUUGACGUCAAGAAACC